rnacentral:rRNA from 1 species
UACGUAGGGGGCAAGCGUUGUCCGGAAUUAUUGGGCGUAAAGAGCGUGUAGGCGGCUCGGUAAGUCUGCUGUGAAAGUCCAAGGCUCAACCUUGGAAUGCCGGUGGAUACUGUCGAGCUCGAGUCCGGAAGAGGCGAGUGGAAUUCCUGGUGUAGCGGUGAAAUGCGCAGAUAUCAGGAGGAACACCAAUGGCGAAGGCAGCUCGCUGGGCCUGAACUGACACUGAGACACGAAAGCGUGGGGAGCAAACAGG